CAGCAGCCGCGGGAAUACGAAGGGUGCAAGCGUUAAUCGGAAUUACUGGGCGUAAAGCGCACGUAGGCGGCUUUGUAAGUUAGAGGUGAAAGCCCGGAGCCCAACUCCGGAAUUGCCUUUAAGACUGCAGAGCUAGCAGGUGAGAGAGGUGAGUGGAAUUCCGAGUGUAGAGGUGAAAUUCGUAGAUAUUCGGAAGAACACCAGUGGCGAAGGCGGCUCACUGGCUCAUACUGGACGCUGAGGUGCGAAAGCGUGGGGAGCAAACAGGAUUAGAUACCCCCGUAGUCCCUGUCUCUUAUAA
rnacentral:rRNA from 1 species